CCUACGGGGCGCAGCAGUGGGGAAUAUUGGACAAUGGGCGAAAGCCUGAUCCAGCCAUGCCGCGUGUGUGAAGAAGGCCUUCGGGUUGUAAAGCACUUUCAGUGGGGAAGAAAGCCUUGGGGCUAAUACCCUCGAGGAAGGACAUCACCCACAGAAGAAGCACCGGCUAACUCCGUGCCAGCAGCCGCGGUAAUACGGAAGGUGCGAGCGUUAAUCGGAAUUACUGGGCGUAAAGCGCGCGUAGGCGGUCUGAUAAGCCGGUUGUGAAAGCCCCGGGCUCAACCUGGGAACGGCAUCCGGAACUGUCAGGCUAGAGUGCAGGAGAGGAAGGUAGAAUUCCCGGUGUAGCGGUGAAAUGCGUAGAGAUCGGGAGGAAUACCAGUGGCGAAGGCGGCCUUCUGGACUGACACUGACGCUGAGGUGCGAAAGCGUGGGUAGCAAACAGGAUUAGAUACCCUUGUAGUC
rnacentral:rRNA from 1 species